rnacentral:sRNA from 1 species
GUUUUGAAGGGAGCACCUGUGAGAGGAAUAUUGAUGACUGCCCUAACCACAGGUGUCAGAAUGGAGGGGUUUGUGUGGAUGGGGUCAACACUUACAACUGCCGCUGUCCCCCACAAUGGACAGGACAGUUCUGCACAGAGGAUGUGGAUGAAUGCCUGCUGCAGCCCAAUGCCUGUCAAAAUGGGGGCACCUGUGCCAACCGCAAUGGAGGCUAUGGCUGUGUAUGUGUCAACGGCUGGAGUGGAGAUGACUGCAGUGAGAACAUUGAUGAUUGUGCCUUCGCCUCCUGUACUCCAGGCUCCACCUGCAUCGACCGUGUGGCCUCCUUCUCUUGCAUGUGCCCAGAGGGGAAGGCAGGUCUCCUGUGUCAUCUGGAUGAUGCAUGCAUCAGCAAUCCUUGCCACAAGGGGGCACUGUGUGACACCAACCCCCUAAAUGGGCAAUAUAUUUGCACCUGCCCACAAGGCUACAAAGGGGCUGACUGCACAGAAGAUGUGGAUGAAUGUUCCAUGGCCAAUAGCAAUCCUUGUGAGCAUGCAGGAAAAUGUGUGAACACGGAUGGCGCCUUCCACUGUGAGUGUCUGAAGGGUUAUGCAGGACCUCGUUGUGAGAUGGACAUCAAUGAGUGCCAUUCAGACCCCUGCCAGAAUGAUGCUACCUGUCUGGAUAAGAUUGGAGGCUUCACAUGUCUGUGCAUGCCAGGUUUCAAAGGUGUGCAUUGUGAAUUAGAAAUAAAUGAAUGUCAGAGCAACCCUUGUGUGAACAAUGGGCAGUGUGUGGAUAAAGUCAAUCGUUUCCAGUGCCUGUGUCCUCCUGGUUUCACUGGGCCAGUUUGCCAGAUUGAUAUUGAUGACUGUUCCAGUACUCCGUGUCUGAAUGGGGCAAAGUGUAUCGAUCACCCGAAUGGCUAUGAAUGCCAGUGUGCCACAGGUUUCACUGGUGUGUUGUGUGAGGAGAACAUUGACAACUGUGACCCCGAUCCUUGCCACCAUGGUCAGUGUCAGGAUGGUAUUGAUUCCUACACCUGCAUCUGCAAUCCCGGGUACAUGGGCGCCAUCUGCAGUGACCAGAUUGAUGAAUGUUACAGCAGCCCUUGCCUGAACGAUGGUCGCUGCAUUGACCUGGUCAAUGGCUACCAGUGCAACUGCCAGCCGGGCACGUCAGGGGUUAAUUGUGAAAUUAAUUUUGAUGACUGUGCAAGUAACCCUUGUAUCCAUGGAAACUGUAUGGAUGGCAUUAAUCGCUACAGUUGUGUCUGCUCACCAGGAUUCACAGGGCAGAGAUGUAACAUUGACAUUGAUGAGUGUGCCUCCAAUCCCUGUCGCAAGGGUGCAACAUGUAUCAACGGUGUGAAUGGUUUCCGCUGUAUAUGCCCCGAGGGACCCCAUCACCCCAGCUGCUACUCACAGGUGAACGAAUGCCUGAGCAAUCCCUGCAUCCAUGGAAACUGUACUGGAGGUCUCAGUGGAUAUAAGUGUCUCUGUGAUGCAGGCUGGGUUGGCAUCAACUGUGAAGUGGACAAAAAUGAAUGCCUUUCGAAUCCAUGCCAGAAUGGAGGAACUUGUGACAAUCUGGUGAAUGGAUACAGGUGUACUUGCAAGAAGGGCUUUAAAGGCUAUAACUGCCAGGUGAAUAUUGAUGAAUGUGCCUCAAAUCCAUGCCUGAACCAAGGAACCUGCUUUGAUGACAUAAGUGGCUACACUUGCCACUGUGUGCUGCCAUACACAGGUGGGUCCUGGAGGUACCAGCAGGGACCAGAGGGGAUACUUGACCUUGCUUUGUCAGUGCCUGAGUCUCAGUGCCCAGGUCUGUGGGGCUGUAAUGCUCCUCCGAGGGCUCACUCCUCAGUUGUCCUUCCUGCCUUUACUGACUGGAUCUUGAGCUUUGAGGAAACAUUGUGGCAUCCUAAGAUGCAAGUGGUGGACAGUCAUUUGCCUACAUUGUACUUUAGUAUUUGAAAGAAAAUUUUUUUUAAGUGUAUGUGGCUGGAACCAGGCACAUAGAUGAUGGUUGUCUAUCAUUUGAAUGUUUCCAGGACAUUAGCUAUUUGUCUUAGUUUCAAUAAUACAGCCACCACUUAUUGGUAAUUUACUAUGUGCCAGACACUUUUUGUACUUUGGAUUAUUUAAUGUAUUCCUCAAUAAUUCUACAAUGUAGAAGUUCCUAUUGCCAUUUUACACAUGAGGAGGCUGAGGCAAAGGGAGCUUGCUUGCUCAAGGUCAUAUAGGUAAGUAGUACAUCUAGGAUUUACCUGUAGGUCUCUUUGAAUCUGAAGCUUUUCCUCUUAAUGGCCUUUUUACUUCCCACAUUCAGUACCGCUACAUCUCACUCA